AUUGAACGCUGGCGGCAUGCCUUACACAUGCAAGUCGAACGGCAGCAUGGAGAGCUUGCUCUCUGAUGGCGAGUGGCGAACGGGUGAGUAAUGCAUCGGAACGUACCGUGUAAUGGGGGAUAACGUAGCGAAGGUUACGCUAAUACCGCAUACGACCUGAGGGUGAAAGCAGGGGAUCGCAAGACCUUGCGUUAUACGAGCGGCCGAUGUCAGAUUAGCUAGUUGGUGAGGUAAAGGCUCACCAAGGCGACGAUCUGUAGCGGGUCUGAGAGGAUGAUCCGCCACACUGGGACUGAGACGCGGCCCAGACUCCUACGGGAGGCAGCAGUGGGGAAUUUUGGACAAUGGGGGCAACCCUGAUCCAGCCAUGCCGCGUGAGUGAGGAAGGCCUUCGGGUUGUAAAGCUCUUUCGGCCGGGAAGAAAUCGCACAGGCUAAUACUCUGUGUGGAUGACGGUACCGGCAUAAGAAGCACCGGCUAACUACGUGCCAGCAGCCGCCGUAA
rnacentral:rRNA from 1 species